rnacentral:rRNA from 1 species
UGGGGAAUAUUGCACAAUGGGCGCAAGCCUGAUGCAGCAACGCCGCGUGAGGGAUGACGGCCUUCGGGUUGUAAACCUCUUUUAGCAGGGAAGAAGCGAAAGUGACGGUACCUGCAGAAAAAGCACCGGCUAACUACGUGCCAGCAGCCGCGGUAAUACGUAGGGUGCAAGCGUUGUCCGGAAUUAUUGGGCGUAAAGAGCUCGUAGACGGUCUGUCGCGUCUGCUGUGAAAUCCCCGAGGCUCAACCUCGGGCCUGCAGUGGGUACGGGCAGACUAGAGUGCGGUAGGGGAGAAUGGAACUCCUGGUGUAGCGGUGGAAUGCGCAGAUAUCAGGAAGAACACCGAUGGCGAAGGCAGUUCUCUGGGCCGUAACUGACGCUGAGGAGCGAAAGCGUGGGGAGCGAACAGGAUUAGAUACCCUGGUAGUCCACGCCGUAAACGUUGGGCGCUAGAUGUGGGGACCAUUCCACGGUUUCCGUGUCGCAGCUAACGCAUUAAGCGCCCCGCCUGGGGAGUACGGCCGCAAGGCUAAAACUCAAAUGAAUUGACGGGGUCAUAGCUGUUUCCU